CCUACGGGAGGCAGCAGUGGGGAAUAUUGCACAAUGGGCGCAAGCCUGAUGCAGCCAUGCCGCGUGUAUGAAGAAGGCCUUCGGGUUGUAAAGUACUUUCAGCGAGGAGGAAGGCGAUAAGGUUAAUAACCUUGUCGAUCGACGUUACUCGCAGAAGAAGCACCGGCUAACUCCGUGCCAGCAGCCGCGGUAAUACGGAGGGUGCAAGCGUUAAUCGGAAUUACUGGGCGUAAAGCGCACGCAGGCGGUCUGUUAAGUCAGAUGUGAAAUCCCCGGGCUCAACCUGGGAACUGCAUUUGAAACUGGCAGGCUUGAGUCUUGUAGAGGGGGGUAGAAUUCCAGGUGUAGCGGUGAAAUGCGUAGAGAUCUGGAGGAAUACCGGUGGCGAAGGCGGCCCCCUGGACAAAGACUGACGCUCAGGUGCGAAAGCGUGGGGAGCAAACAGGAUUAGAUACCCGUGUAGUC
rnacentral:rRNA from 1 species